rnacentral:rRNA from 1 species
CCUUUGUACACACCGCCCGUCGCUACUACCGAUUGAAUGGCUCAGUGAGGCGUUUCGGACUGGCCCAGAGAGGUGGGCAACCACCGCUUAGGGCCGGAAAAGUUCUCCAAACUCGGUCAUUUAGAGGAAGUAAAAGUCGUAACAAGGUCUCCGUUGGUGAACCAGCGGAGGGAUCAUUA